UGGGGGAUAUUGCACAAUGGGCGAAAGCCUGAUGCAGCGACGCCGCGUGGGGGAUGAAGGCCUUCGGGUUGUAAACUUCUUUUGCUCUGAACAAGGCAUGCUGUUGGGGUGUGUUGAGUGUAGGGGUUGAUUAGCGCCGGCUAACUACGUGCCAGCAGCCGCGGUAAUACGUAGGGCGCGAGCGUUGUCCGGAAUUAUUGGGCGUAAAGGGCUUGUAGGUGGCUGGUUGCGUCUGUCGUGAAAGCUCAUGGCUUAACUGUGGGUUUGCGGUGGGUACGGGCUGGCUUGAGUGCAGUAGGGGAGGCUGGAAUUCCUGGUGUAGCGGUGGAAUGCGCAGAUAUCAGGAGGAAUACCGGUGGCGAAGGCGGGUCUCUGGGCUGUUACUGACGCUGAGUAGCGAAAGCGUGGGGAGCGAACAGG
rnacentral:rRNA from 1 species